CCUACGGGUGGCAGCAGUGGGGAAUAUUGCACAAUGGGGGCAACCCUGAUGCAGCGACGCCGCGUGAGUGAAGAAGUAUUUCGGUGUGUAAAGCUCUAUCAGCAGGGAAGAAAAUGACGGUACCUGAUUAAGAAGCCCCGGCUAACUACGUGCCAGCAGCCGCGGUAAUACGUAGGGGGCAAGCGUUAUCCGGAUUUACUGGGUGUAAAGGGAGCGUAGACGGCAGCACAAGUCAGGAGUGAAAUUCCGGGGCUUAACCCCAGAACUGCUUUUGAAACUGUGCAGCUAGAGUACAGGAGAGGUAAGCGGAAUUCCUGGUGUAGCGGUGAAAUGCGUAGAUAUCAGGAGGAACACCGGUGGCGAAGGCGGCCUGCUGGACUGUAACUGACGUUGAGGCUCGAAAGCGUGGGGAGCAAACAGGAUUAGAUACCCGUGUAGUC
rnacentral:rRNA from 1 species